AGUCACUGACAUUAGAUACCCGCGUAGUCCCAGCCGUAAACGAUGCGCGUUAGGUGUAUCGACGACCACGAGUCGUCGAGGUGCCGAAGGGAAACCGUGAAACGUGCCGCCUGGGAAGUACGGUCGCAAGGCUGAAACUUAAAGGAAUUGGCGGGGGAGCACCACAACAGGUGGAGCCUGCGGUUUAAUUGGACUCAACGCCGGACAUCUCACCGGAUAAGACAGCUGAAUGAUUGUCAAUCUGAAGGUUUUACAUGACUAGCUG
rnacentral:rRNA from 1 species